CGGACUACAUGCAGCUCGUCCGGCCACUCGCUUCCUCCUCCUGGGCUUGUUUACGGGGGCUUCCUGAGGCCUCGAGCUCUCCAGGCACCUGGAUACCCCAGCAUUUGGGCUCAAGAGAAGGCUUGAGAAGUUAUGGUGGCUCUUAGGGCUGCUGUGAGGAUGUGCCAGGGCCAUGGGUCUGUCCCCGUGUUGGGAGCCUUUCAGCACCAGGAGAGACCGAGGCCAAAACAGAGGAGCAGAGCAGGUAUAAUUAGUGCCCUAAUGACUCACUGAAGCCUGGAUGUCAGCAGUCUUCCUAACUGUGUGAGCAGAAGCAGAAGUAGUUCAUGUUGAAAUAAAAGAUAUGGUCUCACCACAGACAGUUGGGGGACACUGCUCUAAGAGACCUGAGCCCCGAGGACAGGCCCUGACCCAGAUGCAGGCCACAGGCAGCCCUGAG